GGUUAAGCGACUAAGCGUACACGGUGGAUGCCCUGGCAGUCAGAGGCGAUGAAGGACGUGCUAAUCUGCGAAAAGCGUCGGUAAGGUGAUAUGAACCGUUACAGCCGGCGAUGUCCGAAUGGGGAAACCCAGUGCAAUUCGUUGCACUAUCGUUAACUGAAUACAUAGGUUAACGAGGCGAACCGGGGGAACUGAAACAUCUAAGUACCCCGAGGAAAAGAAAUCAACCGAGAUUCCCCCAGUAGCGGCGAGCGAACGGGGAGCAGCCCGGAGUCUGAAUCAGCUUGUGUGUUAGUGGAAGCGUCUGGAAAGUCGCAGGGUACAGGGUGAUACUC
rnacentral:rRNA from 1 species